rnacentral:rRNA from 1 species
UACAGAGGUCUCAAGCGUUGUUCGGAUUCAUUGGGCGUAAAGGGUGCGUAGGCGGCGCGGUAAGUCGGGUGUGAAAUCUCGGAGCUUAACUCCGAAACUGCAUUCGAUACUGCCGUGCUUGGGGACUGGAGAGGAGACUGGAAUUUACGGUGUAGCAGUGAAAUGCGUAGAGAUCGUAAGGAAGACCAGUGGCGAAGGCGGGUCUCUGGACAGUUCCUGACACUGAGGCACGAAGGCCAGGGGAGCAAACGGG